rnacentral:rRNA from 1 species
GACGAACGCUGGCGGCGUGCUUAACACAUGCAAGUCGAACGGAAAGGCCUGCUUUCCCUUGUGGAUUGCGGGUACUCGAGUGGCGAACGGGUGAGUAACACGUGAGUGAUCUGCCCCCAACUUGGGUAUAAGCCUGGGAAACUGGGUCUAAUUCCCGAUAGGACUGCAGGGUGGUGCCUGUGGUGGAAAACGAUUUUCUCGUGGUUGGGGAUGAGCUCGCGGCCUAUCAGCUUGUUGGUGGGGUACUGGCCUACCAAGGCGGCGACGGGUAGCCGGCCUGAGAGGGUGGACGGCCACAUUGGGACUGAGAUACGGCCCAGACUCCUACGGGAGGCAGCAGUGGGGAAUAUUGCACAAUGGGCGGAAGCCUGAUGCAGCGACGCCGCGUGGGGGAUGACGGCCUUCGGGUUGUAAACUCCUUUCGACCGCGAGGAAGCCACCUGGUUGGAAGGGUGGUGACGGUAGUGGUAGAAGAAGCACCGGCUAACUACGUG